rnacentral:rRNA from 1 species
CAUAUCACUAAGAGAUGGAAAAAGUAACUAAAGAGGAACGGUUUAUUAACGGCGAGUGAACGAUCGUGCUGACGUAUUCGAAUUUAUGAAAUUGUGAUGCCUGUACGUCUUGCAGCCAAUAUACAGUGUCCUGGAACAGACCACCAUGGUCGGUGAAAGUCCGAGAGAAGGCUGUCAAGUAGCAGGAUAAGAGUCGUGUUGUGUGUUAUUGCAAUGCAAAUCGGGAGGUAAUACACUUCCAAUCAAAAAUAGUACCAUGGAUCUGAUAGCGAACAAGUACCUUGAGGGAAAGUUGAAAAGAACUUUGGAAAGAGAGUGAAAAGUACGUGCAAAUCGUUUGGAGGAAAAAGUACAGAUGAGUGAUAGCUGGGUGAUUGGCGCAAGCCUUUCCGGAUUAGCUUUGUGUGUGUUACGUCGAGUUUGUCGUUUAAACCGACUGAAUGGUAGCUCAUGAAGUGGGCGGACUCUGGUUGUACAACCCGUCUUGAAACACGGACCAAGGAGUUUGCGUGAUCUGCAAGUCAGGUGAAUUGAGCCUAUACUGGCGUAAUGAAAGUGAUACGGUGCUUGCAUCGUUAGACAGUUGUGAAUACCUAUGUUUAAACAACGUACAGUUAUUAUGACUGAUGUGGAGCAGAUUGCACUAAACCCGAAAGAUGGUGAUCUAUGCUUUGAUAGGGUGAAGCCACGGGAAACCAUGGUGGAAGCCCGUAACGGUUCUGACGUGCAAAUCGAUCGUGUAAUCUCGGUAUAGGGGCGAAAGACUAAUCGAACCAUCUAGUAGCUGGUUCCCUCUGAAGUUUCCCUCAGGAUAGCAGGUGUCCAUUUCGAACAGUUUAAUUGGUUAGAGCAAAUGAUUAGAGGUCUGGGGGGAUACGUUCUCUUCACCUAUUCUCAAACUUCGAAUCGGUUAUGUUGACUGGUGUUUCAUUAAUACCAUCAAUUCAAUGUUGAUACCUAGUGGGCUUUUUUUGGUAAGCAGAACUGGCGAUGUGGGAUGAACCAAUAGUUUCGUUAAGGUGUCUAAGAAGUACUCAUGAGUAACCAUGAAAGGUGUUGAUCGAUAUAGACAGCAGGACAGUGGCCAUGGAAGUCGGAAUCUGCUAAGGAGUGUGUAACAACUCACCUGCCGAAUCAAUCAGCCCUGAAAAAGGAUGACACUAGAGUACGAUACCGAGACGGGACUGCCAUUACCCAGACCGGAUUAGAAUGGCAAGUAAGGGGGCACAAUGGUUGCAUAGAACUGUGGAAGUGAUUCUGCGGUGAGCGGUCAUUGGAGUUGAUCUUGGUGGUAGUAGCAAUUUCAAGUGAGAUCCUUGAGAACCAACGUGGCGACAGGCUUCCAUGUGAACAGUGAUUGAACGUGGGUAAGUCCGUCCUAAGGCAAAUGCGAAAGCAGCUCAAUGAGUUUUACUCAGAUUGCAAUAGGGAAUUGCGUUAAAAUUCUCAAACCCCGACCAAUGUAGAUAACGGUGACGUUGAAGGCUUCGGUGACAGUUGCACUUGGCUGGAUGAGAGUUCUCUUUUCUUUUUGACACGAAAGAAGUCCAUGGUAACGGUCUUUGAUCACGAAAUGGAUUUUGAUUUGGCAGAAAAUAACAGCAUUUGUUAUGUUCCAUGUUUCGAUGCAGCUCCUUGAAAAACCGUAGCUCUAAUAAGUCGGGACGGUACCUAGAACCGCAUCAGGUUCCCAAGGUGAGAAGCCUCUGGUUAUGAACAGUGUAGGUAAGGGAAGUCGGCAUAGUGGAUUCGGACCUUUGGUAUAAGGAUUGGCUCUGUGGACUGGGUAUUAGGUACUCGUUACCUUUUGGUCGCUGAUUGCAUCGCGGGGCGCUCGCGUUCUGUAGUGCGUAUUGGCUUCCUUUGGGGAAUGUGGAUACUUAGUGCAAUAUACGGUCAAACACAGAACUGACACUGACACGGGGAUUCCGACUGUCUAAUUAAAACAAAGCAUUGCGAUGGCUGGAGAUCGAGUGAUGACGCAAUGUGAUUUCUGCCCAGUGCUCUGAAUGUCAAAGUGAAGAACUUCAAACAAGCGCGGGUAAACGGCGGGAGUAACUAUGACUCUCUUAAGGUAGCCAAAUGCCUCGUCAUCUAAUUAGUGACGCGCAUGAAUGGAUCAACGAGAUUCCUCCUGUCCCUAUCUACCAUCAAGUGAAACCACAGCUAGGGGAACGGGCCUAGUGUAAUUGGCGGGGAAAGAAGACCCUGUUGAGCUUGACUCUAGUUUGACAUUGUGAAGUGACUCGUGAAGUGUAGCAUAGGUGGGAGCAGGAGCAACAGUGAAAUACCACUAUUUGCGGUGUCAUUUUACUUAUCCAAUGGGGUACGCAGAAAUGCAUAUUCAAUAAUCAAGUUUUCUUCGGAGAGCGAUUGUUUGGAGAAGCUGUCAGGUUGGGAGUUUGACUGGGGCGGUACAUCUGUAAAAAGAUAACGCAGGUGUCCUAAGGUUGACUCAGCGUGGACAGAAACCUCGCGUAGAGCAAAAAGGCAAAAGUCAGCUUGAUCUGAUUUUUCAGUAUGAUUUCAGACUGCGAAAGUGUGGCCUAUCGAUCCUUUUGGUUUUAGUGUAUUUAAACAAGAGGUGUCAGAAAAGUUACCACAGGGAUAACUGGCUCGUGGCAGCCAAGCGUUCAUAGCGACGUUGCUUUUUGAUCCUUCGAUGUCGGCUCUUCCUAUCAUUGCGAAGCAGAAUUCGCAAAGUGUUGGAUUGUUCACCCACUAACAGGGAACGUGAGCUGGGUUUAGACCGUCGUGAGACAGGUUAGUUUUACCCUACUGAUGAUUGUGUGCGAUGAAGGCAUUUUUAUUUAGUACGAGAGGAACUGUAAAUACGGGCUUCUGGUUUCGUGAGUUCGCUGAAAAGUGAC